rnacentral:rRNA from 1 species
CCUACGGGUGGCAGCAGUGAGGAAUAUUGGUCAAUGGGCGCGAGCCUGAUCCAGCCAAGUCGCGUGAAGGAUGACUGCCCUACGGGUUGUAAACUUCAUUUAUAAAGGAAUAAAGUGAGGCACGUGUGCCAUUUUGUAUGUACUUUAUGAAUAAGGAACGGCUAAAUCCGUGCAAGCAGCCGCGGUAAUACGGAGGAUCCGAGCGUUAUCCGGAUUUAGUGGGUUUAAAGGGUACGUAGAUGGGUUGUUAAGGCUGUUGUGAAAGUCUGCUGCUCAACCGUGAAAUUGCAAUUGAUACUGGCAUUCUUGAGUACAGUAGAGGUAGGCGGAAUUCGUGGUGUAGCGGUGAAAUGCUUAGAUAUUACGAGGAACUCCGAUUGCGAAGGCAGCUUACUAAACUGCCACUGACAUUGAUGCUCGAAAGUGUGGGUAUCAAACAGGAUUAGAUACCCGUGUAGUC